rnacentral:tRNA from 1 species
GCCACGGUAGUUCAGUGGUAGAGCUCCUGUGUGCGGUGUGCGAACGUGCCUAGCAAUAAUUACGAGAAGGUCGCAGGUUCGAAUCCUGACCGAAACU